rnacentral:rRNA from 1 species
UACGUAGGGUGCGAGCGUUGCCCGGAUUUAUUGGGCGUAAAGGGCGCGUAGGCGGCUCGGCACGUCCGUUGUGAAAUCGCCCGGCUCAACUGGGCGGGGUCAGCGGAUACGGCCGAGCUUGAGCAAGCUAGGGGGCAAUGGAACUCCCGGUGUAGUGGUGGAAUGCGUAGAUAUCGGGAGGAACACCAGUGGCGAAGGCGGCUCACUGGACUGGUAUUGACGCUGAGGUGCGAAAGCGUGGGGAGCAAACAGGG